rnacentral:lncRNA from 1 species
UCCAAUCUUGAGCUUUCCUUCCUUUUUGUUGCUAAUAUUCUUGAAUCCCUCUCCCUGGCAUGUGUACUUGAUAUAAAAUUUCUUCCUACUGUGAUCGCCCACCCGCCCUGAAGGGUAACGAUAAUGGGUACGAGUGGAGAACCCCCUCAUUCUACCAAAUUCAAUCUACCAUGCCUCAUCUUCUGUUUCAUAAUUGAAUACAAUUUUCCUCCAUUCUUGGCGGUCUUUAGGAGAAAGCAAUGUUCCUGACACACAUAACCAUUCUGGGACCGUUACAUAACCGAUACAUGCGCCUAACGUACUUGUAACGACAUUGUUAUGCAAAAAUUAUACGGUACUGACAAAAACAAAACACCAUAAAAAUGAAGAUAGGUCAGGUAAUUCCAUAUAUGUCAUCCAAAAAAAUAGUUUUACACAUUACAACAUAGUCAAUCAUGUAGGAGCACAUAUACUAAAGAUGUACAAAAUUCUUCAACUCACCGAGUUGCAUCUUCAUACAUAUUAAAUCCGUCGUUGAUAUCUUCUUCACUAUCUCCACCUACUUCAUUAAUUUUUUCCACAAAACCUUCACUGCAGUCCUCCAUAAAUGCUUCAUAUCAAUGAUAUAUGUGUGGUUUCAUUUAAGAAAAUUGAUUCAUUAAUGGCGAACAGUGAGAGAGUAAUGGCCAUGUAAGAAGUAAGGAAGAAAGAUGGAGUUCAACAAUUUAAUUGGAAUAAAAUUCCAUCUCG